rnacentral:tRNA from 1 species
GCCGGCUUAGCUCAGUUGGUAGAGCACCUGAUUUGUAAUCAGGGGGCCAAGGGUUCGAAUCCUUUAGCCGGCACCA